CAAAAAGCAAAGCAGCUACCAUUUUAUUCUCUGAACUUUUCUGAAAGCUGGCUGAAGAAAUGUUUUCCUCAUUUCAUUUUAGCUGCCAAGAACAAAUUCAUGAUUUUUUUUGGCUCUCCUAUAUUAAGGACUGUCUGACAACAAUGACUGGACAAAUGUGAUAAUCUCUGAAGGUAUGACAAAGAGUGCCUGUGGCAAAGAUAAACUUCCAGACACUCCAUUUAAACUGGAUGAAAAAAUAUGAAAAGAAAAAGACUGAUAGGACAGACUGAAAACAAAUGGCAUCAGAGGGAUUCUCUAAAUAAAUUAAUUACUUAUUAGUCUUUCC
rnacentral:lncRNA from 1 species